GGAGAGAUGUCUGAGCGGUUGAAGGAGCACGCCUGGAAAGCGUGUGUAGGGGCAACCCUACCGGGGGUUCGAAUCCCCCUCUCUCCGCCA
rnacentral:tRNA from 2 species